GAAGGGUAAUGUUGGUAUUUUUUUUAAAUUUUGAUAACCCUAAUUGACACCUAUAUAACAAAGUGUGCUGAAGUUGAGAAGGAGGAGGCCUACCAAAGACCAUCAUGCGGCGACAACGGUUGAUAUCAUUGUCUUCAUAAAAAUUAAAGAAGGUUUGAGAACUAGCUCUUAGUUUUCCGCCGCUUGUACCCUCUUCUUUUACAUUACACACUAAAGACCCACAACCUCUCAAAAGUAACCACUAAACCCCACUUCAUAAUACACUACCUCCAUCACUGUUCACACAAUCAUCUUCUCCCACUCAUAAAAUCAUAACACCUUCUUUCGGUAAAAAAAAAA
rnacentral:lncRNA from 1 species